UACGUAGGGUGCAAGCGUUGUCCGGAAUUAUUGGGCGUAAAGAGCUCGUAGGCGGUCUGUCGCGUCGGAUGUGAAAACCCAGGGCUUAACCCUGGGCCUGCAUUCGAUACGGGCAGACUAGAGUUCGGUAGGGGAGACUGGAAUUCCUGGUGUAGCGGUGAAAUGCGCAGAUAUCAGGAGGAACACCGGUGGCGAAGGCGGGUCUCUAGGCCGAUACUGACGCUGAGGAGCGAAAGCGUGGGGAGCGAACAGG
rnacentral:rRNA from 1 species